rnacentral:rRNA from 1 species
UUGGAGGGCAAGUCUGGUGCCAGCAGCCGCGGUAAUUCCAGCUCCAAUAGCGUAUAUUAAAGUUGUUGCAGUUAAAAAGCUCAUAGUUGAAUUUCGGGAUCAUCAGGUUGGUCGUGCCAUUGGUAUGUACUAGCUUUGGUGGUUCCUACCUCUUGAAGAGCCGUAAUGUCAUUAACUUGGUGUUGCGGGGAAUCAGGACUGUUACUUUGAAAAAUUAGAGUGUUUAAAGCAGGCAAACGCUUGAAUACAUUAGCAUGGAAUAAUGAAAUAGGACGUUUGAUCUUAUUUUGUUGGUUUCUAGGAUCGACGUAAUGAUUAAUAGGGAUAGUUGGGGGCAUUAGUAUUCAAUUGUCGGAGGUGAAAUUCUUGGAUUUAUUGAAGACUAACUACUGCGAAAGCAUUUGCCAAGGAUGUUUUCAUUAAUCAAGAACGAAAGUUAGGGGAUCGAAGACGAUCAGAUACCGUCGUAGUCUUAACCAUAAACUAUGCCGACUAGGGAUCGGAUGAUGUUAAUUUUUAAUG